rnacentral:tRNA from 1 species
GGGGCUGUAGCUCAGCUGGGAGAGCGCCAGCUUUGCAAGCUGGAUGUCGUCGGUUCGAUCCCGAUCAGCUCCACAU